rnacentral:rRNA from 1 species
AUUGAACGCUGGCGGCAGGCCUAACACAUGCAAGUCGAACGGUAACAGGAAACAGCUUGCUGUUUCGCUGACGAGUGGCGGACGGGUGAGUAAUGUCUGGGAAACUGCCUGAUGGAGGGGGAUAACUACUGGAAACGGUAGCUAAUACCGCAUAACGUCGCAAGACCAAAGAGGGGGACCUUCGGGCCUCUUGCCAUCGGAUGUGCCCAGAUGGGAUUAGCUAGCAGGUGGGGUAACGGCUCACCUAGGCGACGAUCCCUAGCUGGUCUGAGAGGAUGACCAGCCACACUGGAACUGAGACACGGUCCAGACUCCUACGGGAGGCAGCAGUGGGGAAUAUUGCACAGUGGGCGCAAGCCUGAUGCAGCCAUGCCGCGUGUAUGAAGAAGGCCUUCGGGUUGUAAAGUACUUUCAGCGGGGAGGAAGGGAGUAAAGUUAAUACCUUUGCUCAUUGACGUUACCCGCAGAAGAAGCACCGGCUAACUCCGUG